rnacentral:rRNA from 1 species
UACGAAGGGGGGCUAGCGUUGCUCGGAAUUACUGGGCGUAAAGCGCACGUAGGCGGCUUUCUAAGUCGGGGGUGAAAUCCUGGAGCUCAACUCCAGAACUGCCUUCGAUACUGGCGAUCUCGAGUUUCGGGAGAGGUGAGUGGAACUGCGAGUGUAGCAGGUGAAAUUCGUAGAUAUUCGCAAGAACACCAGUGGCGAAGGCGGCUCACUGGCCCGAUACCUGACGCUGAGGUGCGAAAGCGUGGGGAGCAAACAGG